AAGACUAUACUUUCAGGGAUCAUUUCUAUAGUUUCUGACUUGAGAAAUGUGUUUUUAGAGUGUAUGGUUUCGCCAACCACGAUGAUGAGUUGUGAUAUUGUCUUGUGAGCAUGAAUCUGAUGGAGAACCUUGUUUAUUAUAUAUGUUCUCUGUUGUUGAUGAUUGUUCCCUUUGCUUUCUUAGGGAGCAAUGAAGAAGGGAAUAUGUUCAGAGUGGU
rnacentral:snoRNA from 1 species